UCCACUCUCUGCGUAGGCUGGGGCGGAAGAGGCGGGGCAGGUGCGGAGGUGGCUCCCGCCUGCGGUCGGCGCGGUCCGGGGAGGGACCAGCGGACUGCGCAGGUCCUGAGCAGCAUGGCCGUGCCUGGUGUCAGACUGCUCACAGGUGCUCUAAGGAAGCCAGAUGCCUGGACCAGACUCUGGGGUGUGAUUCAGGGGACAUCGUCACACAAACUUUGUGCUUCCUGGAACCGAUACUUGUAUUUUUCCAGUACCAAGUUAAACACAUCAAAUUAUAAAACACUUUUCCGUAACAUUUUCUCUCUGCGACUCCCAGAGCUUUUAGUAUCUCCAGAAUGUUAUUUUCCAUUUUCUAUACGACUCAAAAGCAAUAUAAACUCCAAAAAAUCUACGAAAAAGACCCUGCAAAAAGAGGCAGACGAAGAGGACUCCGACGAGGAGACCAGUUACCCCGAGAGGAGCGAGCAGGAGGAGGAGCUUGAGAGUGAGCCUGGUGUGGCGAAGGACUACAAAGACCUGGAAAAGGUGGUGCAGUCUUUCCGGUACGACGUCAUCCUGAAGACGGGCCUUGACGUGGGGAGAAACAAAGUAGAAGAUGCAUUCUACAAAGGUGAACUCAGACUGAAUGGGGAGAAGUUGUGGAAGAAAAGCAGAACGGUGAGCCAAACCGCCGCCAUGACAGCCCCACGGUCCUGUCUGUCGCUCUGCUACUCAGUGCUGUCCCUGUGACUCCCUGGGGGCCCUGGUGCCUUCUCUGAGGUCCUCUGAGUCCUGGUCAUGCUUGUGGGAACCACCUACAGGCCACUGUCUCUUCUCGGCCAUUGAGUCCUGAGAAGAAUUUGGAAUCAGCCACCCUCAGGACUGCGGCCAUCCUUACUCAGACAUCUAGAGGUUCCAGGUUCGAUUCCCAGUACCACAUGGUGGCUGACAACUGCCUGUGCUGCAAUUCCAAGAGCUCCAUUCUACCUGUGACCUUCAGGGGAACCAGGCGUGCACAUGGCACCUAGCCAUCCACGCAGGCCGAUGCCCACACACAAAUGCAUCUAAAAGACGGAAGUGACUGAAUGAAAUGGACCAGUUUCUAAGCUGUGCAUGACCGCUUAUGGGGGGGGGGGCUUGGUUUCUUGUUUGUCUUAGUAUACUCAUUUUAAAAUCUGUAAAUAACUUAUUUUAUGUGAAUGGGUGUUUUGCCCACAUGUGUGUCUGUGCAGCAUGUGCACAGCAAGGCAAACAAGAACAGUGACCACUGUUAAUCACUGAGCAAUCCCUUCAGACCCUUCAACAGAGUCAGCGGCCCACAUAUGAGAUGCUUUACUCAAUAGAAGCUGGGUGGGGGUUCGGGGUGGGGGAGGGGGAGCACCAUGCUCUUUCUGGCUUAUAUUUUGGCAGAAACAGCAGCGUGUAGCCAGGCUGUUUUGAGCACCUCCUGAGUUCCUGGCCAGAUUCUCUAAUGAGCUGAGUGAACCAGGUAUCUGCCAGGUGUUGCCAUGUGCCAAACAUGGACCAAGUCCUUGCAGAGGGCCUGGUGGUAACAUGGCUCUCCAGGGUGACAAGCUUUAGCAGCAAGUCCUCUGGUAAGGUUAGUUUGGCCUCAGCUCCUGGAGCCAACUCGCCUCUUGUGUGCUGUCCACCUCUGUGGUCUGAAGCUGGUCUCUUUCCAUGAGUCUCUCUCAUGGGGCAGCCAGCAACCAUGAUGACUGAUGUCUAUGAAACUGUCCCAUCCCAUUUUAGGGCAUCCCGGCUAAAGCUUAGUGCUGCCUUCUUCCUGGUGCAUGCAGUGCUGUCUUUUGCACAUUCUUGCUAAGGCUGUGCCCUACCUUUCAGUGUUGCCCAGACAGACAGGUUUGUCCCUCAGCGACCUGACCGAUGACCUUCCCCAGCCUCAAUCCUCGGCAGGCCAGGCGUGGAUGUCAGAUGGAAGCCACUGCUGCCUGCAGUCUGGCCCCUGUGCUUGAGGCCCCCUCCUGUAUGCCUUCCCAGCCAUGCAGUUCAGAACUAGGGUGACAGCCUCAAGAGUGUCAGGCUGUCUCCCUUGCUCUUCCUAUGUGACAGUCACCACAUUAAAGCAAAGCAGGGCUGUUUGAAUUGGCCUAAGUUUCCCAGAAUGGAUAAAGGUUGUCUCCCUGUGUCCUCAGGUGAAGGUGGGAGAUACCUUGGAUCUCAUCACUGGAGAGAACAAAGAGACAGGAACAGAGGUGGUGAUGCGAAUUCUCCUGAAAAAGGUCUAUGAAGAGAAGACUGAGAACGACAAGCACCGGGUGGUGUUGCGCCGAUGGAAGAGCUUAAAGCUGCCUAAAAAGACUCUGUCUAAAUAAACAUCACUUCUCCCACA